AGCCUAUAUUAAGAAAUCUCGCAGGGGGUAGUAGCUAGCUCAAAUAGUGUUACAAAAUAAACAUUAAAACGAAAUUUCAUAAGAUCAGUUAAAUUUUCUGGAAAACAUUUGAAGCACAAACUAUCCAAAUCAACUCGUUCGUGGCAGUUGAAUAGACAACAAAAUGCUAAAUCCAGCGAAUAAGGCGGCCGUGGACAGAUGAAUUUGGAUCCAGCAGAUAUAUAGUCCGAAAUUAAUUGAAAUCGAUCGCGAUUGUAGAGUUUAAACAUCCAUUUUAUUGGCGAUGGAAAGAUUGAUUGAUUAGCAGAAGUAGAACUGGUAUUAAAGUUACCGCUUUUCUUAACAAAAUUCCUAGAUCAGAUUUCAAACUGGACUCGACAUAUCUAUUCCAAUACUUUUAUUCCAUGCUCACGUGCUCCAGAAAAAGAAAUGGUAAUAUUUGCUGUAGAAGGAAUUCUUCACCACAGGAAGCAACCUCAUUGAUUGUGAAUGUAAAUGUUUUGGUAUAUUCUCUUCCUCCUAAGAAUUUUCAAUGGUGGAAUCAGAAAAAACUUCAUGGAGUUCUCAGAUGAAUUUGGAUCCAGCAGAUAUAUAGUCCGAAAUUAAUUGAAAUCGAUCGCGAUUGUAGAGUUUAAACAUCCAUUUUAUUGGCGAUGGAAAGAUUGAGUGGUUAGCAGAAGUAGAACUGGUAUUAUACUUACCACUUUUCUUACAAAAUUCCUAGAUCAAAUUUCAAACUGGACUCAACAUAUCUAUUCCAGUGAGUUGUUCGAUAUCGGUUUAAUGCCAUACAAUAUGUCUUUUAAGAUACUUUUAUUCCAAGCUCACGUGCUCUAGAAAAAGAAAUGGUAAUAUUUGCUGUAGAAGGAAUUCUUCACCACAGGAAGCAACCUCAUUGAUUGUGAAUGUAAAUGUUUUGGUAUAUUCUCUUCCUCCUAAGAAUUUUCAAUGGUGGAAUCAGAAAAAACUUCAUGGAGUUCUCAGAUGAAUUUGGAUCCAGCAGAUAUAUAGUCCGAAAUUAAUUGAAAUCGAUCGCGAUUGUAGAGUUUAAACAUCCAUUUUAUUGGCGAUGGAAAGAUUGAGUGGUUAGCAGAAGUAGAACUGGUAUUAUACUUACCACUUUUCUUACAAAAUUCCUAGAUCAAAUUUCAAACUGGACUCAACAUAUCUAUUCCAGUGAGUUGUUCGAUAUCGGUUUAAUGCCAUACAAUAUGUCUUUUAAGAUAAUUUUAUUCCAAGCUCACGUGCUCCAGAAAAAGAAAUGGUAAUAUUUGCUGUAGAAGGAAUUCUUCACCACAGGAAGCAACCUCAUUGAUUGUGAAUGUAAAUGUUUUGGUAUAUUCUCUUCCUCCUAAGAAUUUUCAAUGGUGGAAUCAGAAAAAACUUCAUGGAGUUCUCAGAUGAAUUUGGAUCCAGCAGAUAUAUAGUCCGAAAUUAAUUGAAAUCGAUCGCGAUUGUAGAGUUUAAACAUCCAUUUUAUUGGCGAUGGAAAGAUUGAGUGGUUAGCAGAAGUAGAACUGGUAUUAUACUUACCACUUUUCUUACAAAAUUCCUAGAUCAAAUUUCAAACUGGACUCAACAUAUCUAUUCCAGUGAGUUGUUCGAUAUCGGUUUAAUGCCAUACAAUAUGUCUUUUAAGAUAAUUUUAUUCCAAGCUCACGUGCUCCAGAAAAAGAAAUGGUAAUAUUUGCUGUAGAAGGAAUUCUUCACCACAGGAAGCAACCUCAUUGAUUGUGAAUGUAAAUGUUUUGGUAUAUUCUCUUCCUCCUAAGAAUUUUCAAUGGUGGAAUCAGAAAAAACUUCAUGGAGUUCUCAGACGAAUUUGGAUCCAGCAGAUAUAUAGUCCAAAGUUAAUUGAAAUCGAUCGCGAUUGUAGAGUUUAAACAUCCAUUUUAUUGGCGAUGGAAAGAUUGAGUGGUUAGCAGAAGUAGAACUGGUAUUAUACUUACCACUUUUCUUACAAAAUUCCUAGAUCAAAUUUCAAACUGGACUCAACAUAUCUAUUCCAGUGAGUUGUUCGAUAUCAGUUUAAUGCCAUACAAUAUGUCUUUUAAGAUACUUUUAUUCCAAGCUUACGUGCUGCAGAAAAAGAAAUGGUAAUAUUUGCUGUAGAAGGGAUUUUCCACCACAGGAAGCAACCUCAUUAAUUGUGAAUAUGCUUCUAUGCCAAGCACAAUAAAGCAGAAAAUAACAACGAUUAAUGAGAGCUGAUUCUCCUCCUAAGAAUUUUCAAUGGUGUAUUCAGAAAAAACUUCAUGGAGUUCUCAGGUACCACAAGCUGAAUAUUUAGUUAAAACUUCUUACAAACAAAACAAGAUUCAGAUUAUGUUUUAAAGGUUAUGGAAAAAUGUUUUAAUUGGUACAGAACCUUGGUGGUAUAACUAAGUGUUCAAAAAAAUACUACUGAUUGAUCCGAAUGGUAGUAGAUUGCCAUGCCGCAUUAAAAAUAGUUGUUUUCAGACAAUCAACAGUAAUUUUACUGGUAUUUAAUGAUAAUCAUGAUUAUGGUUGGUCGCCUAACAGAAAACUCAUCAAAUACUUACAUAUACUGUUGAAUACCAUGCAUAAAAGGAAGAGGGCACCUUGAUAAAAGUUGUAUGAUAUAAUUAACUAACUAUGUUAGUAUUCAUGGAAAUUUUUGCUGUAAUUCACACUCAACACACUUGAAUAACAAUGUUAUCAUCUUAAGAUGCAUAAGGUCCACAAAAAACUUGCGAAUAUUAAAGCUACUCCUAAGGGAAAUCUCCAGUAGGCAACGUAUUCUUAGUAAACUGCCAGGAAAAGACCUUUUAUCUCUAUUCAAACUAUUAUUAUAUCUAGACACUCCUGGGAAGCUAUAACCAUAGAAGAUCUGCUGAAUGUAUACAACUAGGCAACAGCAACCUACAAAUACUAACAGGAGUCCUCCAGAACACCAUAUCUGAGAGUAUGAAGAUCUCUGGCAUCUAAAGCCAUUCUACAUUCUGAAUUUUCUAAGAAGAGUGGGAAUAAUAGAUCAGAUGUAAACACUGGAAUCCCCAGUAUAGCAGCAAGAAAAAGGACAAACUAGAUCCUUUGGGUUGUGGUGUACUUGGUAACCUAAUAUAAACAUAUGUACAUCUAGAAAUAUCAAUACUUAAAUGCAUCCAACAAUCAUUUUUUAACAAUUUUACAUAACUACUUCUUAUUAUAUGAUUUUGAUUAACAUCCUCGACGUUAUCCUAUUUUUCUGUCUUUCCUUAUUUUAAAUGAGUCAGUUACUUCUAAUAAGACCAACAUACUUUCCGUCACAAUCAUAACUGUCCUAGAUUCCACCUUUGUUUACCUGCUGUUAUUAUAAUUUAUUUCCAACUUUAGUUUUGGUAAGUCCAAGAAGUGAUCAGAGUCUGCAUCUACUCUGUAUGAUUUGACAAAUGUUUUUAUAUUUUAUCCGUUUUUUACUAUUAGUACGUUAGCUUUUUUUGGAUUUUCAGUGCUUCUUCUAUGUAAAAUCCACUUAAUUUUUUUAGUAAUGUCUGUUUCCCACAAUGUACAUAUCAAUAAUAUUCUAUACCAUUUCCAUCUACGGAUUUAUGGAUUGUAUGCUUCCCUGCGACGGUAUUUACGAAUUAAUUUCUCCCUAUUCGAGCACUGAAAGCUCCGAAUAAAAUAAAUAUAUGGCGUUUAGGAAUUUUCCCACAUACUCCUUCAGAGUAUUAUAAAACUCUUGUUUUUCUUCUUCUUCUUCUUCUCUUUUUGUUGGUGCAUAUCUACCAGUGAAACAAUAUUUUCUUCUCCACAUGUUUCUAAAAUCCAUUAACUCAUUUUUGAUCAUCUUUUCUAUCAAUAAUCCCGUUUCUCUAUGUGCUUGUUUUUGUUCAUCCUCCUCAGUAUUACCUAACAAUUGUUUCAAAAUAUUAUUGGAUACAUAAACUAACUUCAAAUGUACUCUGUUGAAUAUAUUUUUCAAUUCUUUUGUAUGAGCAGUAUUAAAUGAUACUAGAACAAAUAAAGACGAACAACAUGUAGCUACAGCUACGAGCAAUCACCCAUCCUCAUUCAAAGCUGAUAUAUUCAAAAGUAUGAAGCAGAUUAGCCAAGAGUUUGUGUAUAUUCCCAGAGCGUGAUACAAAUAGAGCAAAAAAUGUAGUUGGUUUCAACUGAAUUAAAUUAAAAAAAAUAACUUAUGAAAUGUAAUCAAUGAAUACUAGCCAUUUUUAGAUACUACAGUACUAUAACAAUUCAUAAUUUGAUAUAUCUAGGUAUAUAACAAGAAGAAAAAAGAUUUUAUUGAGAAUACAAUACAAAUUAAAGGAUAUUUUAAAAUAUUUGUCAUAGGAUAAUAUACUGAAUUUGUAAACCCAAUUCCUGUAUAGUUUUAUGUAAAGUCUAUUGAGCUAAAUAAUGUAGAAUUGUUUGAAAAUGUAUCCACCGAUACUUUAUUAUAUGCAUUUGCAAGUAUUGAAAUCGUUAUAUUCAAGAAUGGUUGAAGUAGUGAUAAAAGACCAAGUCUCACAAUCCUUCUUAUAGUUUAUUAGAUAGAAACUUAUGUGAAGGACGAUUACCCGUGAAGGAAGGUGGAUUAGCGUGGAAAAUUCAAUAUAUUCCUGUUGUUUUAGACUUCUCUUUAGCUUCAUUUAAUUCUUCAUAUCGAAGCUCUUCCUCAGGGUCUUCCUCUUCGUAUUUACUUUCUCCUUGAUCUUUUCCUAUAAGUGAUCUGGAUUUGUUAACAGGUUUUAAAAAUGUCUUUUCAAUUACUCUUUUUAUUUUUGCUACGUUAGUUGAUUUCCUUUUACUUUUUAUAUUUGUAAAUAGUUUGCUAUUGCCUUUGUUGCUCAGUUCAAUUCCAUUUUCCAUUUUAUUAUCUUCACUGCUUCCUUUCUUAAUUCUUUGUAAAUUUCAUAGUCCUGUCCACUCCCUAAUUCAAUCCAUCUGUUUAUGUUCACUUUCACAUUAUUUGAACUAGUUAUUUCUUAUUGUAUAUUGAACUCCCAGUUAAUGUUGGAAGAUACAAGAAGAAAAUUUAUAUGAUUGAGAAUACUCAACAAUUCUGAUAAAAAAAUAAUAAAUAAAUUGAUUAAUCUUCAUAGAUCUAAGAAAGCUUUCAGUGAAACUAGUUGUUUCUAAAAUCUUACUCAAAAACCAGGAGAAAGUUGCUCUAGUUCUUUUCCCUCCUGUUUUGAUUGUGAUGGAAAGUAUGUUGGGCUAAAUAAUGUUAAAUUGUUUGGAAAAAGUAUCUAUCAAUACCAUGUUGUAUCUAUUUCAAAAUUUUGAAAGAGACAAAAAGCCUAAUCUUCAAAAUCUAACUCCCAUGAGAGGUGAAAAAGGGUUAGUUCAUCAUUUAUAUAUGAAUACGAUAACUUGGUUAAGCAAAAACACUUUCUAAAAACAAAUAUCCAUUCCUCUAGUUCAUAGUCUUUAUAAUCUUUCAAUUAUCAAUAGAAAACGAUCUUAUUUCAUAUAAGUCCUUGUAUAUUGAUGAAAAACCAAACAACAAAAAUCAAUUUGAAAAAAUUAAUUAUUGCUCUUCAUUGAAACAGAUCUUCUGUUAAAGUUGAGGAAUAUUAAUUUGUUGAGUAAAUAAAACAAGAUUUGAUCAUGGAGAUGAUAUAUUUGAGUGAAUGUAUACAAUAAAAUGAGUAAAUAUAACAAAGUAAAUGUUUCAUGUUUCAAUACAAUGAGAUUCAUGGUUUAAUGACACUAUUUCCUUCUUCCAUAUUUUGAUGAUCGUCGUGGCCGACGCUGCCUACGCUUCGUUCCUUUACGACGUGGACGUCUGCUGCGAUCCAUCGGCUCUGCUCUGGCUGUAAAUAAAAUUCAUAUUAUUAUCAAAUUCAUUUGUAGAUAGGUACUUGUUAUGAAAAGAAUAUUUGGUUUACUACUUACUGUGUACAUCAUGUCUACGUCUUCUCGUAUUCUUAGAGCGUCGUCCACGACUGCGUAUUUCUAUUAUUGGUAGCUUGAGACUUUUGGCUAACUUGGAGAUUCUUGAUGAUUUCUCUUUCUGCUUGCUCUUUGCACUUCUAAUAAGACUGCGUUGUUUUCCUUGCUGACGUCUACCUCUUGCUUGCAUUUCCUUGACUGGAGCCCUUCUCUUUUCCAAAUUCUUGAAGUUUUGGAACAUGGUGAACUGCUUGGAGCUGUUACCUAUCAAAAAUAUUUAAAUUUACUUGAAGGAGAGCUCAUUUAAAACCUUUAAGAUACUAGACAAGCAUUUAUAUUCUAAAAUGUGGUGAAAUAUGUUAUUUGAAGUAAUAUAAAGAGAAUUUCCAAGUACUCACCUAAUUUAAACUUUCCAUUGUCUUUAUUCAGAAGACCAUUUCGAGUUCCGGUCGUUAGAGCUUUCUUAACUUGCACAGAGGCAUUUUUCAACUUGGUUUUUCUUUGGGAAUUGAUAUGAUUGAUUAUUUUAUCGAGAGACGAGCCUUUACGGUCUUUUAAGCUAGCAAUAGAACUCGUUACGACUGUUUUAAAAGCUGCCAUCGUGGAAACAAGCACCUAGAAUGAAAAUUAAUAGCUGAAAAGACAAUAACAUGUUUGAAUUCACUUACCUCAACUUCUAAACGCACGAAUUCGAAAACUUUCACAGUAAAUAAAUAAUUUUGACGGGAGAAAAAAUAUUCACCGGCACAAAUUUCGAAAUCUUAAUAGAAAAUGAAAUAAUAUUCAAUAAAUAUUUGUUGCUUAGUGACAAUUUUUUUUUUUUCGGAGGUAGGAUGAUUCAAAUUUGAAUUGACAGAUGUAAGGUCAGAACGAAAAAGUUUCAAAAAUAAGUGAUUGCCAAUCAUUCUCAAUAGUGAGAAUUGCUAUUGAAAUCAUACUUGAGUUUCGAAUAAAUUUUUACACAACC